rnacentral:rRNA from 1 species
AUGGGUGCGCUGGUGCGCCCCCACGAAAGAUUGCAAGAAACAAAACAAGAGACAAGAGAAGAGUUUUGUCUGGUUGCCAGCAGCCGGCAGAAGAGAAAAAAGAAGAAAAAGGGCAUUGCAAAACGCCUCGCCGCCUGGCCGGUCAAGCCUGACCGGCUGGGACCCUCCUCGAGCACCCGAGGGCUCGAAGCCUACACCCAGCGGGUGCGCCGGCGCACUCUGCGAGCGCCGAGCCGCGCCGGCUGUCUUUGCAAACUCCGCCUCGGCUACACGAGAAUCAAUGUGAGCUCCUCACCAUCAUAUUUUUGCAUCACGCAAGCACGGAUAACCCUGAGCGAUGCUCGAGGGCUAUCUCCGCAUUUUAUUAUAGUUGCACUACUGUUCACCCCGGCGCCAGCCAGAGGUGGCCCGGGGGCUGGCCGCUUGGCCUGA